rnacentral:rRNA from 1 species
UAAAACGGGAGGCCGCCGUAGGGAAUCUUCCGCAAUGGACGAAAGUCUGACGGAGCAACGCCGCGUGAACGAUGAAGGCCUUCGGGUCCUAAAGUUCUGUUGUUAGGGAAAAACAAGUACCAGAGUAACUGCUGGUACCUUGACGGUACCUAACCAGAAAGCCACGGCUAACUACGUGCCAGCAGCCGCGGUAAUACUUACGUGGCAAGCGUUGUCCGGAAUUAUUGGGCGUAAAGCGCGCGCACGCGGUUUCUUAAGUCUGAUGUGAAAGCCCACGGCUCAACCGUGGAGGGUCAUUGGAAACUGGGGAACUUGAGUGCAGAAGAGGAAAGUGGAAUUCCAAGUGUAACGCUGAAAUGCCUACAGAUUUGGAGGAACACCAGUGGCGAAGGCGACUUUCUGGUCUGUAACUGACACUGAGGCGCGAAAACGUGGGGAGCGAACAGGAUUAAAUACCCUGGUAGUCCCGCCCUAAACGAUGAGUGCUAAAUGUUAGAAGGGUUCCCCCCUUUAAUGCUGCCGCCAACCCAUUAA